rnacentral:rRNA from 1 species
AGAGUUUGAUCAUGGCUCAGAUUGAACGCUGGCGGCAGGCCCAACACAUGCAAGUCGAACGGUAACAGGAAGAAGCUUGCUUCUUUGCUGACGAGUGGCGGACGGGUGAGUAAUGUCUGGGAAACUGCCUGAUGGAGGGGGAUAACUACUGGAAACGGUAGCUAAUACCGCAUAACGUCGCAAGACCAAAGAGGGGGACCUUCGGGCCUCUUGCCAUCGGAUGUGCCCAGAUGGGAUUAGCUAGUAGGUGGGGUAACGGCUCACCUAGGCGACGAUCCCUAGCUGGUCUGAGAGGAUGACCAGCCACACUGGAACUGAGACACGGUCCAGACUCCUACGGGAGGCAGCAGUGGGGAAUAUUGCACAAUGGGCGCAAGCCUGAUGCAGCCAUGCCGCGUGUAUGAAGAAGGCCUUCGGGUUGUAAAGUACUUUCAGCGGGGAGGAAGGGAGUAAAGUUAAUACCUUUGCUCAUUGACGUUACCCGCAGAAGAAGCACCGGCUAACUCCGUGCCAGCAGCCGCGGUAAUACGGAGGGUGCAAGCGUUAAUCGGAAUUACUGGGCGUAAAGCGCACGCAGGCGGUUUGUUAAGUCAGAUGUGAAAUCCCCGGGCUCAACCUGGGAACUGCAUCUGAUACUGGCAAGCUUGAGUCUCGUAGAGGGGGGUAGAAUUCCAGGUGUAGCGGUGAAAUGCGUAGAGAUCUGGAGGAAUACCGGUGGCGAAGGCGGCCCCCUGGACGAAGACUGACGCUCAGGUGCGAAAGCGUGGGGAGCAAACAGGAUUAGAUACCCUGGUAGUCCACGCCGUAAACGAUGUCGACUUGGAGGUUGUGCCCUUGAGGCGUGGCUUCCGGAGCUAACGCGUUAAGUCGACCGCCUGGGGAGUACGGCCGCAAGGUUAAAACCCAAAUGAAUUGACGGGGGCCCGCACAAGCGGUGGAGCAUGUGGUUUAAUUCGAUGCAACGUGAAGAACCUUACCUGGUCUUGACAUCCACGGAAGUUUUCAGAGAUGAGAAUGUGCCUUCGGGAACCGUGAGACAGGUGCUGCAUGGCUGUCGUCAGCUCGUGUUGUGAAAUGUUGGGUUAAGUCCCGCAACGAGCGCAACCCUUAUCCUUUGUUGCCAGCGGUCCGGCCGGGAACUCAAAGGAGACUGCCAGUGAUAAACUGGAGGAAGGUGGGGAUGACGUCAAGUCAUCAUGGCCCUUGCGACCAGGGCUACACACGUGCUACAAUGGCGCAUACAAAGAGAAGCGACCUCGGGAGAGCAAGCGGACCUCAUAAAGUGCGUCGUAGUCCGGAUUGGAGUCUGCAACUCGACUCCAUGAAGUCGGAAUCGCUAGUAAUCGUGGAUCAGAAUGCCACGGUGAAUACGUUCCCGGGCCUUGUACACACCGCCCGUCACACCAUGGGAGUGGGUUGCAAAAGAAGUAGGUAGCUUAACCUUCGGGAGGGCGCUUACCACUUUGUGAUUCAUGACUGGGGUGAAGUCGAAACAAGGUAACCGUAGGGGAACCUGCGGUUG